UACGAAGGGGGCUAGCGUUGUUCGGAAUCACUGGGCGUAAAGCGCACGUAGGCGGAUCUUUAAGUCAGGGGUGAAAUCCUGGAGCUCAACUCCAGAACUGCCUUUGAUACUGGCGAUCUUGAGUCCGGGAGAGGUGAGUGGAACUCCGAGUGUAGAGGUGAAAUUCGUAGAUAUCGAGAGGAACACCGGUGGCGAAGGCGGCGAUCUGGACGAUGACUGACGCUGAGACGCGAAAGCGUGGGGAGCAAACAGG
rnacentral:rRNA from 1 species